rnacentral:rRNA from 1 species
CCUACGGUGAGCAGCAGUGGGGAAUAUUGCACAAUGGGGGAAACCCUGAUGCAGCGACGCCGCGUGAGUGAAGAAGUAUUUCGGUAUGUAAAGCUCUAUCAGCAGGGAAGAAAAAAGACGGUACCUGACUAAGAAGCCCCGGCUAACUACGUGCCAGCAGCCGCGGUAAUACGUAGGGGGCAAGCGUUAUCCGGAUUUACUGGGUGUAAAGGGAGCGUAGACGGUAUGGCAAGUCUGAAGUGAAAGCCCAGGGCUUAACCCUGGGACUGCUUUGGAAACUGUUAGACUAGAGUGCUGGAGAGGUAAGUGGAAUUCCUAGGGGAGAGGGGAAAAGCGUAGAUAUUAGGAGGAACAACAGUGGCGAAGGCGGCUUACUGGACAGUAACUGACGUUGAGGCUCGAAAGCGUGGGGAGCAAACAGGAUUAGAUACCCGAGUAGUC